rnacentral:misc_RNA from 1 species
CACGCACUUCUUUGCGGAUUUAUACGCAGUCACGCAUCAUUUAAGCAAUUGCAACAUACGCAGACGUGCAAGUGCAUCCCUACCUACAUGCAUACAGCGAUAAACUCUCGAGCGUUGGCAGUGCUUGUAGGAUUUGUGGUUUGCCAUCUCCCAGCCGUGCCGCCCAGGCCACACCGAUAUAUCCGCCGCAACCUCGCUUGAAGUUGUUGUUUUUCUUUGCACGUCACUGCCCGCGUAAGCCUGACACUUCCACCGCCAUCACCGCCACCCCUUCUUUCGUGUUCGCUUGCCUCUGUCCCACGCCCUUCCCCUCUCCCGCGGCAACCAGCCUGCGCUGACGAAACUAAUUCUAGUCGUAUCCCCUUCAAGGGCAGAUAUCUAGCGACAUCAUGUCCAAGCUCAUCAGUGACGCAAUCGCCGCCGAGGAUGUUAGCAAGUGGUACACCUCCUAUGAGCUUUACCCCCCUCGUAGCGAGAAGGCGGAGGAGGACAUGAUGAAGGUGCUAGUCCCCAACUUUAUGCGUCAGUCGCCAGUCUUCCUCGACUUGACAUGGGGCGCUGGUGGUCGCACGAGUGACACGACGAUGCGCCUCUGCAAAGACCUCCAGCAUGCGUACCCUGACACGCCCAUCAAUAUGCACAUUACAUGCACCAACACGCCGAAAGGUCUCAUCAACGAGGCGCUUGACUUUGCCAAGACACAUGGCAUCCGCAACAUCCUCGCCCUCCGCGGCGACCCGCCACGUGGUGAGGAGUUCCGGGCCGACCCGGAUGGCUUCGCGUGCGCAAGGGAUCUUGUGAGAUACAUUCACGACACGUACGGCGACUACUUCUGCGUGUCGGUCGCUGGCUACCCUGAGGGCCACCCGAGCCGCAUCGCCGAGGACGGCGCCAUCUCAGACGAGGACCACCAGAAAGAGCUGGAGUACCUCAAGGAGAAGGUGGAUGCCGGAGCCAGCUUUAUCAUCACGCAGCUCUUCUACGAUGCCUCCCUGUACGUGCAGUUCGUGAAGCGCUGCCGGGAGAUAGGCAUUACGGUCCCCAUUCUAGCAGGGCUGCUUCCCAUCACGACCUACGCCGGGUUUGUGCGGAUGGUGUCACUGUGCAAGACGAGCGUUCCCAGCGAUGUGAAGAAGCGGGUAGAAGAGCUCAAGGAGAACCCUGACGGUCUCAAGGAGUACGGUGUGGAGCAGUGUGUGCAGAUGAUUGAGUGCAUUCGCACCUCUGGACUCGACUACCACCACCUCCACUUCUACACGCUCAACAACAGCGCGCAGACCUUCAAGGUCCUAAAGCGGCUAAACGCGCUGGUGGAGUGACGUGCGCUUCAUCGGCAGGAAUCCGAUCUCCACUUACACCUCUCCCCUCGUCCCAUCGCUUGCCAGCAUCGUGCGCGCACGAUUUCAUGCAUAAAUGCAGCUCAUCCCAUAGAAGCCGGGACGAGGGAGAACACGGAAAGACUUCGCACCGACUGCGAAGUGUGCUGUGGGCUCUGUAGAGAAGGGCUGCGUGCCUCCGCUUUCCCAUGACUCUCUUCCUCUAUCCGUUUUUUUUUUUCUGAUUUGGUCUGACGUUCUCGGCGCGUCGAACUGUGAUUGUGUCACGGCGCGUUUUUUUUUCGCGGCUCGUUUGCCGUCUUCUUUGCCGCCGUCAUGCGUCUGCUUUGGGUAACUGUCCUGGCGCAUGCGUGCGUGGAGAGAAGCUGGCGAGCACCUCUAACUCACAUGUGCACUCUCACAGACGCACACAUGCACAUACUCCGGUUCAUGUAACACUCUUCACGUUUUUGAUCGCCACUCCUGUGCAUCUCUCUCUCUGUGUCUCUGUGUGUGUGCGUAAGUGCUUCCUCCCCUCUGCUGCUCUCUCUCUCUCCUCCUCCCCUUCUCUCCCUCUCCUCGCCAUCUCCAUUUUGUUAUGGAAGCGGCCGCGUCGUCUUUCGCGCAUAACGUUCUUUGUUUUCUUAGUCUUUUUCUUUUUUCGCCACGGCGGUGUCGAACACACGCACAGGCAUCUCCGUCCCCUAACUGCCAACUCCCCUCUCACCUUAUCACCUCGCGGAGAGGUGGGGGAUCCUCACUCUUCCUGUCAUGCCGCGCGCGCAGUGGACGGGUAACAGUUACUGCGUAGACCAUUUCCCGUGUACUCUGGCAAGCGAGAGCACCCGCGGAAACGCCUCUGCUGAUCGUGUGAGUGUGUUGGUCGUGCCCCCUUGUUUUAUCUCCGUCUCGUGACCAGUGCAUCUUGAGAAGG